rnacentral:rRNA from 1 species
UACCCGGGGUUCUCCCUCGAGUUCAAACGUAACCUCAGAAAGACCCUACCCUUCUCGUCGCGACUCCUAAACCUCUUCCAACGGUGGAUGGAGUCCCGGUCGCAGACCUUCUUCUACAGUCUCCGACCCUAAUUCAUGUAAGGGUCGUUGUGGAAGAGUAUGAUACUGGUCCACGAACUGUGUUGUCGGUACGAACCACGACAGGGCCUGGCGAUGAGAACCUGACCGCCGCUCUAACCAGUGUCGUGGAUGAAGAGUUACCGGUCCCCGUUACGGUGGCAGGGACGAUACCGCUGCCGCUUCACCAAACUGUGGUUGAUAGUGAAAUAACAUGGACUUAACUCGGGUCUUUAUUUCAAGAGUAUACGAAGUGUGUUCCGACAGAGACUUAUGUUCCUCCGUUUCCGCGAACCACAACUGUGACAAGGUCACGAACAACCUGGUAAGAGUAUGAACGACGAGAGAUUCCGUCGCCUCCCACACCUCCUUAGUAAGAGAGAGGAUAGUGAAGAACUAUCGUAAGAAGGUUAGAUGUUCCUCCAACAGCGACUCGACUUCCGUCGACCACGAAGUACCUAAGUCAAACUACUCGGGUGGGAACAAAUACUGGAACUACGAAUGCUAAACCGGCGCAAGAGGAGUCGUAUACGAUCGGAACUCAGUCGUGAGAGACCUAACUACAUGAAUAACUCUGUAUGAAGCGGCUACAAGGACGACUUAGAAUGUUCAUGCUGAGAGUGUAGUAACUCACCACACUGACGGAUACCAAAACUAGAACAACUACCUUGGUUCUGUGAACUAGAAUAGUUCUCGCACCCAUAGGGUAGACCUUUCAUGAACAAACGACCACAACAUCUACCUGCCUUGUAAACACGAUUACUAGAACGACGUAGAGAGUCGUGAGAAGUCAAAGAACUCCGACAACAACCGUUCCUGUUCGAACACCACAGGUGGAGGACGAACGACUACAUGCGGGGACAACUAGAGCUCUAGCACUGAUUGGAACUGUCACUCUAAUUUAGCACCGAUCGUAAACGACGGGUUUUCCACCAACUCCACUUACGUGAACGGUUCCGAAACCGACCAGAUUUCCUACUUCGGAUGAAACGCCGGUUACGACGACGAGUCCGAAGGAAACCCGGUUACAACUCCAGUAGUGGGUCUCACUUUUUACUCCUCCAAGUCUUCCGACGAAGACGAAACUUCCGGCUGGUGUCGGCACGAUGGGGAGCUAGAUAAUCUGGCAAUGUAUAUCUCAAGUUUUUUUGAGCGGCGAGCAUGGUUUUUAACUACUGCUAACGUCGUCUUUACUGGAGCGGUUAAAGAGUCAAGAGUGUUCGUUACUUCCUUUUCUACCACCAUCGUUUUUUUUGAAACGGUUAACAUCGUUUUUAACUACUUCUAUCGUCGUUUUGUCUGGGUGUUAAAGAGUACGUGCUACUUCUUGUUCUACCUUCUCUAUUCAACUCCUAUCUCGCCACGCACGAACUCCAUCUGCCGAGGAGCACGCACGCUACCUAGCUUGCGGAGCGUGCACUGGCCGAAUUUCAAGGCGGCCAGACGGCCGGUGUUCGCAAAAGGAAUAAUAAAACCACCAUAGGUCGGUGGCUCUGUCUCCUAAGUGAAUAGUGCGUGAAACGAGACGGUUCUCGCUCUUCCGGUUGGUUGAGCGACCGGCACCACGAACGGGAACGGCUCCGGUGGGAGCGAGGUCGCGACGGCAGGCGCGGCGAGGCGACCUCUGCGGUAGGUCCCGCGAGUCGUGUGGAGACCUGCACCGGAAAUGCGGCUGCGAGCGCGAGGGGGCGCCGCCGAGUUUCGACGGACGCCGCCUCCGCAGCCACGCACCGCGCCGAAGUGAACGGGCGGGUAUCGCGGUCCGAAGUACGCGCGCACUGCGCCGGGACCGGUCAUACGGUUUCGCCGCCGCUACCAUUACCACAAAAGAGGGGCAACCUUGGCGUGCACUCUUUGUGUCUCUAUUGGAAUAGAGAAACGAUC